rnacentral:rRNA from 1 species
UACGAAGGGUGCAAGCGUUAAUCGGAAUUACUGGGCGUAAAGCGUGCGUAGGUGGUUUUUUAAGUCUGCUGUGAAAGCCCUGGGCUCAACCUGGGAAUGGCGGUGGAUACUGAAAAGCUAGAGUGCGGUAGAGGAGGGUGGAAUUCCCGGUGUAGCGGUGAAAUGCGUAGAGAUCGGGAGGAACACCAGUGGCGAAGGCGGCCCUCUGGGCCAGCACUGACGCUGAGGCACGAAAGCGUGGGGAGCGAACAGG